rnacentral:sRNA from 1 species
AAAAUAAAGUAAAAUUUGUUAGGAAGUGGGUGUUUUAUCCGCUAAUCAGUCUAGACAAAUAAUAUACCGAUUUACAACUAAACGACAAUUAAAUUAACUAGAGAAUCCUUCCACUCCUUUCAUUUCCUUGUGUGUCCCAUAUCCGAAACUAUUAUUGUUACAUAUGAUGUAUAUAUAGUAUUACACUUCAUUGCUUGAUUGUCCCUUAAAGUCUAUUCAUAUUGUUAUAUAAUGUAUGAAUUUUGCUGUAGACAAUAUGAACAUGUUCUUGUAGUUCUCAAUGUCAAAGUGAUUAAAGACAUCUAGACCAUUUUAAAUUAGGGCUCAUUCGUUAUCUAAAUUUGAAAAGAGAGAUGUAUGAAUAGAAUAUU